rnacentral:misc_RNA from 1 species
GCUGUAUUAUUUAUAUUUCACAUUAAAAAAUUAUAUUGAAUCAAGAUGUAAUUUUUUAAAAAUUUUGAGCAAGAAUGAAAAAUUAAUUUUAGUGUCUAAUUCACCCCAUCUUGGACAUAUUUUGGGACAUCAGAGUGCUUUAAUAUUAUAGAAUAUGUACGGGGUGAAAUUGACAACAUAAGGAUUUGACCCAAAAAGUACCCUCAUAGAAUUUGAGGUUUAGCCAAGUACUAACAUAGAAGGAUCUGAGGCUUAGUAGACUCCAAAUGUAGUAAAUACAGUAAGUGCCAUGGUUAAGCAAACCAAAAGCAGUGCUUUGAACACAAAAUGAUCCCCUUGAUAUCAGGAUUUUGUUCCUCAAUGAAUCAUCAGAAAAGAUGCAGUGUCCCUCAGGUUCAAACCCUUCUGACAUUUAACAUCUAGGAAUCUCCUUCUGAUGUUGUUGCUUCCCUCGAUAGAUAAAAGUCAUGUUGUUACUUACCUUAAUAGAUAAUAUUGAGGCCUUUACAAUAUAACCAUACUUCUCGGGCUUUGAUAGGUAUUAAAGGAGGAUCACCCUCAAAGUCCUAAUGAUCUGAUCUGAUCACUUCCCGGAAAUCAUUAUGCAAACUGGCAAUGUAUUUUCCUUAUUCAUUGUGUAUAAUGAUGCUCCCACAGGUUUUAAGACUCAACAAGCUCAGGACCUGUUUCUAUCAAGUGCUCAGAACACCUGAGAGCUGACUUCCUAUACCCAUUCUCUCCAUAACCCCUUGAUAAGAUCCAAUAUAUAACUUCAUUUGGCACGACACCCAUCUUUAUCAUAUCAGCAUGCAACAUCAUCACAUCAAUCACAUGUUUGGCAUUUAGAUGCCCCUGCAACAUGACAGCAUAAGCCAAUGCAUCUGGCCUUAAACCACCGCAUCUCAUAUCCAAGAAAAACUUGCUAGCUUUAAAAAUCUGCCCUUCCUUGCACAAAGCUUGAAUCAAAGAUGUGUAUAUCACAUGAUUUGGUGAACAAUAAAUACUGUCCAUUUCAUUUACUCGAUUGCCAGUGGUGUUACCUCCAGUCUUGUCUAAGAAAAAUUUAAUUGCAUCAGAUGUCCUUCCAGCUUUGCAAAGGCCAUCAAUCAAGCAACUAACUGUGAAAACAUUAGGGCUAAGCCCGGUCUUCAGCAUAUGCUUAUACAGCCGGAUGGCCUCUUCCAUGUUACCUUUUUUACAUUGACCAUCAAUCAAUGCCGUGAAAGCAACCACGUCAGGCACAAUGCUUUUGAUUAUCAUUUCCGAGUACAAACCCAUGGCGGAUUCCAUGUUUCCCACCUUGCAAUAACCAUCAAUUAAUGUAGAGAAGGUGAUAACGUUUGGUUCUAUACCCUUCGUUGUCAUCUGGGAACACACCUCCAAAGCCUUCUCUAUGUUUCCUUUCUUACAGUAUCCAUUGAUUAGCGAAUUAUAGAUCACAGAAUUUGCAUGAACCUCCUCUUUUUCCAUUCUUUUCAGUAUACAGUCUGCUUCUUCAACUGUACCCAAACUAGAAACACUCUUAAUAAGUAUGCUGAAGGUGAAAACAUCAGGCAAAAUUUUGAAAAUCUCCAUCUCUAAAAGUAAAUCCAUUGCUUUGGAUAGGUUCCCUGCUUUAUAGUGCCCAUCAAUCAAACUAUUAUACACAAGUACAUUAGGAACAACACCCAACUUGGCCAUCUGAACAAAGAAGCCCCUUGCUGCCAAUAAUUCGCCCCCUUUGCAAAGAGCAUCUAUUAAGAUACCAAAGGUCACAAUAUUUGGCAGCAGUCCAUCUUUAAGCAUGUCUUGAUACAAGUCCAGGGCGAGUUUCACUUUUGCUAUUUUGCAAUAUCCAUCCAUCAGAACAUUAUAAGUAUACAAAUUGGGUAAAACUCCAGAUUCCUUCAUUUGUCUGAACAUACUUUCUGCUUCCACGAAUUUACUCUCGUUGCAAAGACCACGAAUGAGAGUCGUGUAGAUCACAAUAGUUGGUUCAAUCCCCUUCUUCACCAUCUCAUUAACCAAACUCCUAGCUUUCAGAAUAUCACCUUGGCUACAACAAGCAUCGACUAAUACACUAUAAGUGACAACACUAGGCACCAAACCAUGCGAAAUCAUGUCCUCAUAUAAUUCCCACAUGGAAUAAAAGCUAGCCUUCUUAAGCAACCCAUUUAAAAGAGCAGUACAAGCUUGCACUGCAGGUAAAACCCCGAUCUUGCGAUACACCCACAAGGCUUCGUCAAGAAGACCCAUCUCAGAAAAUGCAAUAAUCAACACUCCAAACACAUUGGGAGUAAAUUUUGAGCCUUCUAGCUGAUUAAGGGCAUUGAAAACCAGAGAACUAACACGACGAGGUUUGAGGGAUUGGAGGAGGGUUUGGAUUAGGUCUUUUGUCAAACACCUGGCAGUGGUGUAUAUUCUGGCACUUGUUAAGACAUGGAUUAUAGAAGAAUAUAAGCGAAGAUCCUUGGUUGGGCUUUUUGGGUUUUGUUUUAAAGUGGAAGUGAAAAAUUCGAGGGCUUGUUUCAGGGUUUUGGAGUCGAGAAUAAUGGUUGAGGGAUCGGAGGAAGAAGACAAUGAUGUGGAAAAUACAUGGUCCGUAAUCUUGGUUCUAAUGGGUCUGAGUGAGUGUUUUGGCGGGAAUAGCUUCAACAUUGUUAAGAAGUGGGGAUGAGAGGACCACUCUAUUUGUAGUUACUUUCUUCAACGGUCUUCGACCAGAACAGUUUUGAGAGGCCUACACAUUUAUGCUCUUCAACUCUCGGCCUCAGCCCAGUAUGUCUGUCUAAAUAGAAAAAAAUUUGCAGACCCGAUUUGAAAACCUGAUUGUGGAGU